rnacentral:rRNA from 1 species
UGCGUAGGCAGCGAGCGUUGUUCGGAAUUACUGGGCGUAAAGAGUGUGUAGGCGGCGCUCUAAGUUCGGUGUGAAAUCUCUCGGCUUAACUGGGAGGGUGCGCCGGAAACUGGAGUGCUCGAACGUGGGAGAGGAAAGCGGAAUUCCUGGUGUAGCGGUGAAAUGCGUAGAUAUCAGGAGGAACACCGAUGGCGAAGGCAGGUCUCUGGGCUGACACUGACGCUCAUGCACGAAAGCGUGGGGAGCAAACAGG